CAGCUUCUCAUCCCUUUCUCGCCGAUGAGACACAUUGUGGAGCAAGUCCUGCUGUGUCACUCAGUGGAAAAACUGCAGAGCCGUUUUGGAUACGAAACGGAGCCAUCUGCCAGGAGACAUUUCCCACUGACCAUGCAUCAGCUUCUACCCACUUUGGUAGCCGCGGAAAGCUGAACUCCGGUGGAUGUUGCUGAUGUGUGUGUGGCUCCUGUUUAGAAUGCCCAGAGGUGAAAGGUGGCCAGAAAUCUACUUUUCUUCCCACGAAGAGAGGAGAACAGCUAUAAGGCAGGAGAUAUUGUCCCCCACUGGUCCCAGGAUCCCUGCGGUAAAGGCCCACCCUACAGCUAUGCCUCUAGACACAGAGUCUGAUGAGGAGGAGCACAAGGCCAUGAAGGCUUUCCAUGAAAGCUCAAGGGAAAACACACACACACACACACACACACACAUGCACGCAUACAAAGACACAUAGACGAGCACAGAUGCAUGCAUAAAGGCAGGCAGGCGCAUGUACAAUCACUCAGACACGUACAGUACACAUACGGAUACGCAAACAGACACACAAAAACAAAACAAACAAACAAACAAACAAAAAAAAAAAGCAGGUGCAUACACUGUUCCGCUGGCACGCUUAAACAGAGACAGACACUGGCAUGGCAUCAAAAACAUAGUAAACUGUGGACCAACACAAAAACAGACCUGCCGGUACUCUCUGGCACAGGAACCCGUAAUUCACAUCAAACGUAUAUGUGCGGUGUCGGAAAUAAACCCUGUACCGAAUCAAUAUUUCCACUCUUCUGUUCACAUUUAAUCUUUAGCUACCCAUAUGUCAUAGAGUGAUUGACAUCUCUUUCACAAAGGCCAACAAGACAAUACAAUGAGAAGACAACGCAAAUGAAAUGAAGAAGAUCUAAGCUGGAGUGGAAACGAGUUGCAGCGGGGUUUUAAUUUGAUUUUGGUCAUCUUCAGAAACUCUCCUGCCAUGCAGGAUUUAGUUUGAGAUCAAAAGAUUAUUGACUGACUGGUUCAGUUGUCUAGGCGACUGUCUGUUUGGAUAAUUGACUAAUUGAGGCGUCUGCGAAGAGGAUCGGGUUAGCUUGUGAAAUAAAGUUUAAAAUUGACUCAUAAAACAGAAUUUUGGGGGUUAUUGAAUGUCAACCAUUUGAACUGUAAUAAGGUCUAAGACAUAAUAUGAAAACUUGCUAAUAAACUGAGCUUAUUAAGCUUUAGAAGUCAUUGCCAGGAAGCAUGGUUGUCUUAGCUGGGACCUUCAGGUAAAGGUCUACAACUGGAACCUGAAAAAUGAAUAAACAAAAAAUGAAUCUUUAGGGCUCUUCUUCUAGCCACGUCUUGAGCACCAAGGGUUUGUCUGUCUGUCUGUACAAUUCUUAUUUCUACUGUAUAUAAAUCUGUAAAGGUUUGAUAUUGGUUAGAAUUUUAACUGAAUUAUUUUUGAUUAAAACCUAUUCAGAU